GCUGAGUAACACGUAAGUAACCCGCCUUGGAGUGGGAAAUAACCUGCCGAAAGGCAAGCUAAUGUCCCAUGUGGUAAUGAAGCGUAGGCUUCAUUACCAAAGCUGCAAAGCGCUCCAAGAGGGGCUUGCGUCUGAUUAGCUAGUUGGUAGGGUAACGGCCUACCAAGGCGAUGAUCAGUAGCUGGUCUGAGAGGAUGGUCAGCCAGAUGGGGACUGAGACACGGCCCCAACUCCUACGGGAGGCAGCAGCAAGGAAUUUUGGGCAAUGGACGAAAGUCUGACCCAGCGACACCGCGUGAGGGAAUAAGGCCUUCGGGUUGUAAACCUCUUUUCUUGGGGAAGAAUCUCGACGGUACCCAAGGAAUAAGCCUCGGCCAACUACGUGCCAGCAGCCGCGGUAAUACGUAGGAGGCGAACGUUAUUCGGAUUUACUGGGCGUAAAGGGAGCGUAGGCGGUUCCUUAAGUCAGAUGUGAAAUCUUCUGACUUAAUCAGAAGGCGCCAUUUGAUACUGAGGGACUUGAGAGCAGCAGAGGGAAAUGGAAUCUCCAGUGUAGCGGUGAAAUGCGUAGAUAUUGGAGAGAACACCAGUGGCAAAGGCGAUUUCCCAGGCUGUUUCUGACGCUGAGGCUCGAAAGCGUGGGGAGCGAAGCGGAUUAGAUACCCGCGUAGUCCACGCCCUAAACGGUGGACACUAGAUAUGGGAGGUAUCGACCCUUUUCUGUGUCGAAGCUAACGCUUUAAGUGUCCCGCCUGGGGAGUACGGCCGCAAGGCU
rnacentral:rRNA from 1 species